AUUGAACGCUGGCGGCAUGCCUUACACAUGCAAGUCGAACGGUAACAGGUCUUCGGAUGCUGACGAGUGGCGAACGGGUGAGUAAUACAUCGGAACGUGCCCGAUCGUGGGGGAUAACGAGGCGAAAGCUUUGCUAAUACCGCAUACGAUCUACGGAUGAAAGCGGGGGAUCUUCGGACCUCGCGCGGACGGAGCGGCCGAUGGCAGAUUAGGUAGUUGGUGGGAUAAAAGCUUACCAAGCCGACGAUCUGUAGCUGGUCUGAGAGGAUGAUCAGCCACACUGGGACUGAGACACGGCCCAGACUCCUACGGGAGGCAGCAGUGGGGAAUUUUGGACAAUGGGCGAAAGCCUGAUCCAGCCAUGCCGCGUGCAGGAUGAAGGCCUUCGGGUUGUAAACCGCUUUUGUACGGAACGAAAAGCCUCUUUCUAAUAAAGAGGGGUCAUGACGGUACCGUAAGAAUAAGCACCGGCUAACUACGUG
rnacentral:rRNA from 1 species